UAGAGUAUGAUUAUAUUUAUAGAUGAUUAAUUAUUUAUGUGAUUUUUAUUACAGGAUUCUAAAAUGUGCUUGGCAGUGUAAGAGCUAUGUUGCUGCAGUUGGAUUUAUCUAAAUCGAGGGCUGGUUAUCUAUACUGUCACCGUGAUUUCGUUGGACGGAUAUGAUAAGGAUAAAUUAAAAGUGAUAAGAGGUAAUAGUGAGCUGAGACUGAAUUAAUAAGGAUAA